UUGAACGCUGGCGGCAGGCCUAACACAUGCAAGUCGAGCGGUAGCACAGAGAGCUUGCUCUCGGGUGACGAGCGGCGGACGGGUGAGUAAUGUCUGGGAAACUGCCUGAUGGAGGAGGAUAACUACUGGAAACGGUAGCUAAUACCGCAUAAUGUCGCAAGACCAAAGUGGGGGACCUUCGGGCCUCAUGCCAUCAGAUGUGCCCAGAUGGGAUUAGCUAGUAGGUGGGGUAACGGCUCACCUAGGCGACGAUCCCUAGCUGGUCUGAGAGGAUGACCAGCCACACUGGAACUGAGACACGGUCCAGACUCCUACGGGAGGCAGCAGUGGGGAAUAUUGCACAAUGGGCGCAAGCCUGAUGCAGCCAUGCCGCGUGUGUGAAGAAGGCCUUCGGGUUGUAAAGCACUUUCAGCGGGGAGGAAGGCGUUAAGGUUAAUAACCUUGGCGAUUGACGUUACCCGCAGAAGAAGCACCGGCUAACUCCGUGCCAGCAGCCGCGGUAAUACGGAGGGUGCAAGCGUUAAUCGGAAUUACUGGGCGUAAAGCGCACGCAGGCGGUCUGUCAAGUCGGAUGUGAAAUCCCCGGGCUCAACCUGGGAACUGCAUUCGAAACUGGCAGGCUAGAGUCUUGUAGAGGGGGGUAGAAUUCCAGGUGUAGCGGUGAAAUGCGUAGAGAUCUGGAGGAAUACCGGUGGCGAAGGCGGCCCCCUGGACAAAGACUGACGCUCAGGUGCGAAAGCGUGGGGAGCAAACAGGAUUAGAUACCCUGGUAGUCCACGCCGUAAACGAUGUCGAUUUGGAGGUUGUGCCCUUGAGGCGUGGCUUCCGGAGCUAACGCGUUAAAUCGACCGCCUGGGGAGUACGGCCGCAAGGUUAAAACUCAAAUGAAUUGACGGGGGCCCGCACAAGCGGUGGAGCAUGUGGUUUAAUUCGAUGCAACGCGAAGAACCUUACCUGGUCUUGACAUCCACAGAACUUAGCAGAGAUGCUUUGGUGCCUUCGGGAACUGUGAGACAGGUGCUGCAUGGCUGUCGUCAGCUCGUGUUGUGAAAUGUUGGGUUAAGUCCCGCAACGAGCGCAACCCUUAUCCUUUGUUGCCAGCGGUUAGGCCGGGAACUCAAAGGAGACUGCCAGUGAUAAACUGGAGGAAGGUGGGGAUGACGUCAAGUCAUCAUGGCCCUUACGACCAGGGCUACACACGUGCUACAAUGGCAUAUACAAAGAGAAGCGACCUCGCGAGAGCAAGCGGACCUCAUAAAGUAUGUCGUAGUCCGGAUUGGAGUCUGCAACUCGACUCCAUGAAGUCGGAAUCGCUAGUAAUCGUAGAUCAGAAUGCUACGGUGAAUACGUUCCCGGGCCUUGUACACACCGCCCGUCACACCAUGGGAGUGGGUUGCAAAAGAAGUAGGUAGCUUAACCUUCGGGAGGGCGCUUACCACUUUGUGAUUCAUGACUGGGGUG
rnacentral:rRNA from 1 species